GCUGGGUGACUGGAUAUGCGCUCGAGAACAGGCCUUACCACAAAUAACUCACCCAAGGCGUUCCACUGGUGUACUCACUCCUCCAGUCUGCUUCGAUGAAAGCCAGCUUCGUCGGUCAGGGCUUCGGCUUUUCGCUACACCACGCUGUCCUUUCUGCAGGCUGGUUCGGGAGGAGUCGAGGAGGGCACGUCUUGAGCGCUGGGUGACCCGGCCGGGAGUGAGACCUGGCAAGGUCGUGACCCGCUCACCUGGGCCCGCGCGCAUUGAUACAGGCUCCGCCCACCUGCCCGCAUGGUAAAUGGUUCUCUCCUAUGAUAGGGCGGUAAUUUAUUGCCCUCUCAAAAUCUUGUGUUCCUGUGCUCUCACAAACAACCUACGCUUUAAUGCGAAGGAGAAAGAAAAUUCACUGUCAUUGUGCCAUCAGAGAUUCAUGUCUGCAUGGUACGCAAGGGAAAAAUAAAAACCUACACAGGGUGUGAGGUUAAAAUGACCAUCAAGAUCAACAUCUCAAAAUUCACGGUCAGGAAGGAUAGAGUUCUUGCAACGCAUUCUUGUGAGGUCAUCAUCCGAGGCACCAAUAACCAAAGUUUAGAGUCAGCAAGUGCUUGAGUCCCUCAAGAAACUAAAAAUACUUUCUUCAUGUAAUUUGAGCUGGAUACCUGACGACACUGAUCGAGAGGAGGGAGUGGAACAUUGUGUACAGGGCUGGAUGUUUUUAUGUUUGUUCUUAUGUUUAUCAUGAUGAACAUGGAGUAACAACACCAUCUCAUGAGACAGAGAAACAAAAAAAAUAAAUUUGCAUUUUGCCUGCUGCACCUGGUGAGCACAGUAACAUUGUUGGAGAAGUGUUGAUGCAGUCAGCAUCACCUGAAGCUGCCCCCCUAAAUGACAAUGAGUUUGUUGAAAAUAAUGUGAGGCCUUCAAAUGCUGGUGUAGAGGCAGUAAAUGAACUGAGCACGGUUUUGUUGUAUCUGUUGAACAAAUAUGAAGAUGAUGAUGUUCUAGUAGGGUUACAUAAGUUAAAAAAUAAAUUAAAAAAGUUAAAGCUAGCAAUAAGUUCGCCAGCAUUUUAUUUAAUGCUGCAUCUUCAGGUGUUGUAGGUAAGACGGGAGCUGGCCGCGGUAAAAUAUCAUGUCAGCCAACUUCAGUGGCAAGACGCAGUACUGGCAUGCCAAGAGGAGCGGCACCUAUUAGCAAAGGCCGAAAGCGUAAAGGCAACAAAAUUGAUACGGGUGGAAAAAGGCAAAGGAACUUGUCUUUAAAUAUUUCAAAGAAUCAAACUAAUGCUAAGAAUCAUGGUUUUGGCCAUUAAGGGAGGUUAUAUGGACAUGUGACUGUGAUACUUGUUGUGUAAUAUGAAAACGUGCCUGUGAUAUUUGUUGUGUAAUAUGAAAAUGUUAUAUACAGUUAUAGAUAGAUUGACAAUUUAUUGCCUAUCUGCAACAUAAACAGGAUUACAAACUGAAAUUCAUUUGGCUAGAGCUCCAUAUAAGCAACUUCUACAGCAUAGCAAACUAAAAGUACUGGCAAUCAUAGUUACAUAAUUACUAUUAUAUUUUUAAGUGGUUGAAAAGUGUGGUACUCUUUUACAAACUAUUUCUUAUACAUGUCCAUAUGUUGUGUAGGUAGAGCUAACCUCCUGCCUGACCUGAGGAAUAUAUAGCAGGUGUGGGGGGGGAUGAGAUGCAUCUAUCAUGAUUGUUGCUUUCUGGAACAGCUUGUCAAAGUGCAAUUUUUUUUUUCUCACUCUCCUAUUAAAGAUAAUUCUCACGAGUAGCGGCUCCAGUGCUUUUCUGUUAAUUUUUCAAUAUAGCCAAAAAACAUGAGGAAACUGUGGGAAUUAUUGGGGAUCCUUGGUGGAAAUA